rnacentral:rRNA from 1 species
CCAGACUCCUACGGGAGGCAGCAGUGGGGAAUAUUGCACAAUGGGGGAAACCCUGAUGCAGCGACGCCGCGUGAGUGAAGAAGUAUUUCGGUAUGUAAAGCUCUAUCAGCAGGGAAGAGAAUGACGGUACCUGAGUAAGAAGCCCCGGCUAACUACGUGCCAGCAGCCGCGGUAAUACGUAGGGGGCAAGCGUUAUCCGGAUUUACUGGGUGUAAAGGGAGCGUAGACGGCAUGGCAAGCCAGAUGUGAAAUACCGGGGCUCAACCCCGGGACUGCAUUUGGAACUGUUAAGCUGGAGUGUCGGAGAGGCAGGCGGAAUUCCUAGUGUAGCGGUGAAAUGCGUAGAUAUUAGGAGGAACACCAGUGGCGAAGGCGGUCUGCUGGACAGCAACUGACGCUGAGGCGCGAAAGCGUGGGGGGCAAACAGGAUUAGAUACCCUUGUA